CGUGGAUGAGUUGUCUCUAGGGAAAUUAUUGAAGUUUCCUUUUAAAUGAAAAGGUUUAAAUUUUUGUAAAAGACGAGAAGACCCUGGCGAGCUGAAUUAGGCGUGAAAUUUUCCCUAUAUAAAGUGGUUAAUAUGUUGUGUAAAAUUUGAGGUUGAAUUUUGGUUGGGGAGAGCUAAACCUAAGAGAAUAGGUUUGAGACAGACACAGAUCCUCUUUGAGAGAUAAUCGGUAAAAAGCUACCGCAGGGAUAACAGCGUAAUUUUUCUUGGGAGAUCGUAUUGAGGGAAAAGUUUGCGACC
rnacentral:rRNA from 1 species